AUUGAACGCUGGCGGCAUGCUUUACACAUGCAAGUCGAACGGUAACAGGGUGCUUGCACCGCUGACGAGUGGUGAACGGGUGAGUAAUGCGUCGGAACGUGCCGAGUAGUGGGGGAUAACGCAGCGAAAGUUGUGCUAAUACCGCAUACGUACUGAGGUAGAAAGUGGGGGACCUUCGGGCCUCACGCUAUUCGAGCGGCCGACGUCUGAUUAGCUAGUAGGUGAGGUAAAGGCUCACCUAGGCGACGAUCAGUAGCGGGUCUGAGAGGAUGGUCCGGCAACCUGGGACUGAGACACGGCCCAGACUCCUACGGGAGGCAGCAGUGGGGAAUUUUGGACAAUGGGCGAAAGCCUGAUCCAGCCAUGCCGCGUGUCUGAAGAAGGCCUUCGGGUUGUAAAGGACUUUUGUCGGGGAGGAAAUCCCCAGCGUUAAUACCGCUGGGGGAUGACAGUACCUGAAGAAUAAGCACCGGCUAACUACGUGCCAGCAGCCGCGGUAACAC
rnacentral:rRNA from 1 species